UACGGGGAGCAGCAGGCGCGAAAACUUGUCAAUGGGGGACACCCCGAACAGGGAAUUCCAAGUGCAUGCGUUUUACGUAUGCUGUUCGGAUGCCUAAAAAGCACCUGAAGUAAGGGCUGGGUAAGACAGGUGCCAGCAGCGCGGUAA
rnacentral:rRNA from 1 species